UGGAAGUGAGGUAGAGAAGGUGGUGGACCUGGCAGGCGCUGCUGAUAUAGGGAGGACAUGGGUUUUUGAGUACCCUGUUGUGGCUGAGGAUUAUGACUCCCUUGAGUAUACAUCUCUUAGUAGUAUUACUGAAACCAAAAGUUUUAGCACAAAAAGCAGGUUGCAAGGUGUAGCCUUCAACUCAAGCUUCUAAAUCCCCUGCGGAAAAUCACAUUCAAAUCAGAGAAUAGGUAAAAAUAUAAAGUUAACAACUAAGUGAAAGCCAGUUCUAAACACAAAACAAUAGGGAAUCCAACAAGGAAGCAGCACAAACCUAUAAAGCAAUGAAUUGCAUUUCAGAACUACCUGAACAUGUUGUUCGCUUCAACUAACGCAUUAAACAGUCAAAAUCAAAUAUAUUUCCCCAUAACCAACAAGAACAAACGGAAAUCAGAAGCAUAUCGCUUUAAAUUUCCAUUUCAAGUCCUUCAAAUUUCAAACUACUAAGCAAAAUAUAACCCAGCAAUAUCAAAAUUGCUUCCUUUAUUCAUAAAAAAAAAAAAUCAUUCUCUAAC
rnacentral:lncRNA from 1 species